GCGAUGGGCGGCAGCCUGAUGCAGCGACGCCGCGUGAGUGAUGACGGCCUUCGGGUUGUAAACCUCUUUCAGCGGGGACGAUAAUGACGGUACCCUCAGAACAAGCCCCGGCUAACUUCGUGCCAUCAGCCCCGGUAAUACGUUGGGUGCUAGCGUUGUUUUGAAUUGCUGGGCGUAAAGUGCACGUAUGCUGUUUGGUUUGUC
rnacentral:rRNA from 1 species